UAGGGAAUCUUCCACAAUGGACGCAAGUCUGAUGGAGCAACGGCCGCGUGAGUGAAGAAGGUUUUCGGACGUAAAGCUCUGUUGUUGGUGAAGAAGGAUAGAGGUAGUAACUGGCCUUUAUUUGACGGUAAUCAACCAGAAAGUCACGGCUAACUACGUGCCAGCAGCCGCGGUAAUACGUAGGUGGCAAGCGUUGUCCGGAUUUAUUGGGCGUAAAGCGAGCGCAGGCGGAAGAAUAAGUCUGAUGUGAAAGCCCUCGGCUUAACCGAGGAAUUGCAUCGGAAACUGUUUUCUUGAGUGCAGAAGAGGAGAGUAGAACUCCAUGUGUAGCGGUGGAAUGCGUAGAUAUAUGGAAGAAUACCAGUGGCGAAGGCGGCUCUCUGGUCUGCAACUGACGCUGAGGCUCGAAAGCAUGGGUAGCGAACAGGAUUA
rnacentral:rRNA from 1 species